rnacentral:misc_RNA from 1 species
AUUUUAGAGUAAAGGUUGACAUGAUCACGUCCUGUACAAAUAUCCUGAAUUUUGAUAGUCAUUACUUGAUCAAAGUAAAUGAUCCUUGCAGCAGCGCUAGCAGAUCUGGUGGACUGCCCCAUUUUUCAGGUUCCAUGGAUUAAAGAAGCAUAUGUUGCACGAGUCACCUUCAGACCACUUGCUAUCAUCUCAUCACGCAAUUCAAACGCCUUAGACAUUUCUCCAGCAAUGCAGCAACCAUAAAUGAAAAGGUUAUAAGCCACUGCAUCAGGCUUCAGACCAUUAGUCACCAUGGAUUCCCACAAGCCUCUUGCUCCUAACAGAUCACCCCUCCUACAGAAUUCAUAAAUGAUAGUUGAGUAACUUACGCAAUCUGGGAA